GAAGAACCACUUCGAAUCGUAGGCGUGCAGAGAAAAGCUAUUUUUUCCACAUCGGCCACUCUCAUACAGAAUUUCAGUUGACAAACACGCGCAGAUCAAGAGUGUUCCAGUCAACUAUAGCCUGCGGCAAAAAAAUACCUAUUUAAAACAUCAACUCAAGGUAUACGGACGGGCAUUUGGACUAGUGUGACUGGACGCAAUGAAGAACUACAUAUGGAGCAGUGUCAUCAUUUGGGCCGUACUGGCGCUCCUUCUGCCCACAUUAGAAAAGCGAGAUUCCUUUUCUGCCAUCGCUCUCGUUUAUAUGGGGCCAAGUGCGGGAUAUGGCCACAAAC
rnacentral:lncRNA from 1 species